rnacentral:rRNA from 1 species
CAGUCGCCGCGGUAAUACGUAGGGUGCGAGCGUUAAUCGGAUUUACUGGGCGUAAAGCGUGCGCAGGCGGUUCGUUAAGACAGAUGUGAAAUCCCCGGGCUUAACCUGGGAACUGCAUUUGUGACUGGCGAGCUAGAGUAUGGCAGAGGGGGGUAGAAUUCCACGUGUAGCAGUGAAAUGCGUAGAGAUGUGGAGGAAUACCGAUGGCGAAGGCAGCCCCCUGGGCCAAUACUGACGCUCAUGCACGAAAGCGUGGGGAGCAAACAGGAUUAGAUACCCGAGUAGUCCCUGUCUCUUAUAC